rnacentral:rRNA from 1 species
GCUACGGGUGGCAGCAGUAGGGAAUAUUGCUCAAUGGGGGAAACCCUGAAGCAGCAACGCCGCGUGGAGGAUGAAGGUUUUCGGAUUGUAAACUCCUUUUGUUAGAGAAGAUAAUUACGGUAUCUACCGCCUACUCCCCGGCUAACUCCGUGCCAGCCGCCGCGGUCAUACGGAGGGUGCAAGCGUUACUCGGAAUCACUGGGCGUAAAGAGCGCGUAGGCGGGAUAGCAAGUCAGAUGUGAAAUCCUAUGGCUUAACCAUAGAACUGCAUUUGAAACUGUUAUUCUAGAGUAUGGGAGAGGUAGGGGGAAUUCGUGGUGUAGGGGUAAAAUCCGUAGAGAUCAAGAGGAAUACUGAUUGCGAAGGCGACCUGCUAGAACAUAACUGACGCUGAUGCGCGAAAGCGUGGGGAGCAAACAGGAUUAGAUACCCUUGUAGUC